UUAUGAUCCCAUUAUUGCUCACAGUGCAUAUGACGGACUUAAUUCUAAAAUUUUAUGCAUUACUGAUUGUGCAUCAAAUAAAAAAACAGCCAAGUAUUGUACCGAACUCUUUUGUAAUGUCAUUAAAGAUCUUAAAGAAACAUACAAUAAAGAAGUAUUUGCUGUGGUAACAGAUAAUGAAAAUAAGAUGAAAAAAAUGAGGGAUUCAAUCAAAGAAACGUAUCCAAAUCUUUUAACAUAUGGGUGUUCUGCACAUUAUUUAAACCUUUUAGAAAAAGAAGUAACACACCCAGAUGUCAUCAAACAUGUGGUUGAAGUGCAGAAAUAUUUUCGUAAUACACAUCAACCGCAUGGAUGGUUGCGUGAGAAAGGAGGGCAUAUGCCUCAGUUACCAAACGAUACUCGAUGAAACUCCCAAAUUGACUGUAUAGAAACAUACAUAAAAAACUACCAAAUUUAUGUAGAAAUAGUAGAUAAUCAUGAUAUACCUAUCAAAAUCAGAAAAAUUAUUGAAAAUCGAGCAAUAUUUAGAGAAGCUAACAGUCUUCAAACCCAACUCAAAAUAUUUGGUGUUGUUUUAGAUCAAAUGCAAAGUGACAGCUGUCACCUAUCCGAAUGUGUUGAGUUGUGGCUCUCACUUUUGAAUAACCCUGAACUAAGUCAUUACCACACAGCUAUCAAAAAGAGAUGUAAUGAUGCUAUGACACCUAUCCAUUAUCUUGCGACCAAUCCUCGCUUUUUGGGUAAAAAUAAGUUUUGCUUAAAAAAAAAAUUGUUUUGAAAAAUUUCUGAAUUUUUUUUUUAUAGGCAAAAACCUGCCGAUUGAAAAUGAAGAUGAGGCUGAAGAAUGGCUUUACAAUCAUUAUCCUGAUUUUGUACCUGGGUUGAUUUUGCUUAAAUUAAAGGAUUGUGAUGCAUUUUCU